rnacentral:rRNA from 1 species
GAUGAACGCUGGCGGCGUGCCUAAUACAUGCAAGUCGAGCGAAAAGAUAAGGAGCUUGCUCCUUUGACGUUAGCGGCGGACGGGUGAGUAACACGUGGGUCACCUACCUAUAAGACUGGGAUAACUUCGGGAAACAGGAGAUAAUACCGGAUAAUAUUUCGAACCGCAUGGUUCGAUAGAGAAAGAUGGUUUUGCUAUCACUUAUAGAUGGACCCGCGCCGUAUUAGCUAGUUGGUAAGGUAACGGCUUACCAAGGCGACGAUACGUAGCCGACCUGAGAGGGUGAUCGGCCACACUGGAACUGAGACACGGUCCAGACUCCUACGGGAGGCAGCAGUAGGGAAUCUUCCGCAAUGGGCGAAAGCCUGACGGAGCAACGCCGCGUGAGUGAUGAAGGUCUUCGGAUCGUAAAACUCUGUUAUUAGGGAAGAACAUACGUGUAAUUAACUGUGCACGUCUUGACGGUACCUAAUCAGAAAGCCACGGCUAACUACGUG